GACGAACGCUGGCGGCGUGCUUAACACAUGCAAGUCGAACGGAAAGGCCUGCUUUCCCUUGUGGAUUGCGGGUACUCGAGUGGCGAACGGGUGAGUAACACGUGAGUGAUCUGCCCCCAACUUGGGUAUAAGCCUGGGAAACUGGGUCUAAUUCCCGAUAGGACUGCAGGGUGGUGCCUGUGGUGGAAAACGAUUUUCUAGUGGUUGGGGAUGAGCUCGCGGCCUAUCAGCUUGUUGGUGGGGUAAUGGCCUACCAAGGCGGCGACGGGUAGCCGGCCUGGGAGGGUGGACGGCCACAUGGGGACUGAGAUACGGCCCAGACUCCUACGGGAGGCAGCAGUGGGGAAUAUUGCACAAUGGGCGGAAGCCUGAUGCAGCGACGCCGCGUGGGGGAUGACGGCCUUCGGGUUGUAAACUCCUUUCGACCGCGAGGAAGCCACCUGGUUGGAAGGGUGGUGACGGUAGUGGUAGAAGAAGCACCGGCUAACUACGUG
rnacentral:rRNA from 1 species